AUUAGUUAGUUGGUGAGGUAACGGCUCACCAAGACUACGAUGUCUAGGGGUUCUGAGAGGAUGAUCCCCCACACUGGUACUGAGACACGGACCAGACUCCUACGGGAGGCAGCAGUGAGGAAUAUUGGUCAAUGGGCGCAAGCCUGAACCAGCCAUCCCGCGUGCAGGAUGACGGCCCUAUGGGUUGUAAACUGCUUUUAUACACCAAGAAAAAUCCCCACGUGUGGGGACCCGACGGUAGUGUAUGUAUAAGCAUCGGCUAACUCCGUGCCAGCAGCCGCGGUAAUACGGAGGAUGCGAGCGUUAUCCGGAUUCAUUGGGUUUAAAGGGUGCGUAGGCGGCUUUUUAAGUCAGUGGUGAAAUCCUGCCGCUUAACGGUAGAAUUGCCAUUGAUACUGAAGAGCUUGAGUACAAUUGAGGUAAGCGGAAUGUGUAGUGUAGCGGUGAAAUGCUUAGAUAUUACACAGAACACCGAUUGCGAAGGCAGCUUACUAAACUGUCACUGACGCUGAUGCACGAAAGCGUGGGGAGCGAACAGGAUUAGAUACCCUGGUAGUCCACGCCGUAAAC
rnacentral:rRNA from 1 species